rnacentral:rRNA from 1 species
UUGUUGGUAAGGUAAAAGCUUACCAAGGCUUCGAUCAGUAGCUGGUCUGAGAGGACGACCAGCCACACUGGGACUGAGACACGGCCCAGACUCCUACGGGAGGCAGCAGUGGGGAAUUUUGGACAAUGGGGGCAACCCUGAUCCAGCCAUGCCGCGUGAGUGAAGAAGGCCUUCGGGUUGUAAAGCUCUUUCAGCCGGAACGAAACGGUUACGGAUAACACCCGUGACUACUGACGGUACCGGAAGAAGAAGCACCGGCUAACUACGUGCCAGCAGCCGCGGUAAUACGUAGGGUGCGAGCGUUAAUCGGAAUUACUGGGCGUAAAGCGUGCGCAGGUGGUUUUGUAAGUCAGAUGUGAAAGCCCCGGGCUCAACCUGGGAACUGCGUUUGAAACUACAAGACUAGAGUGUGGCAGAGGGGGGUGGAAUUCCGCGUGUAGCAGUGAAAUGCGUAGAGAUGUGGAGGAACACCGAUGGCGAAGGCAGCCCCCUGGGUCAACACUGACGCUCAGGCACGAAAGCAUGGGGAGCAAACAGGAUUAGAUACCCUGGUAGUCCAUGCCCUAAACGAUGUCAACUAGUUGUCGGGCCUUUACGGGCUUGGUAACGUAGCUAACGCGUGAAGUUGACCGCCUGGGGAGUACGAUCGCAAGAUUAAAACUCAAAUGAAUUGACGGGGACCCGCACAAGCGGUGGAUUAUGUGGAUUAAUUCGAUGCAACGCGAAAAACCUUACCUACCCUUGACAUGUAUCGAAGCCCGCAGAAAAGCGGGGGUGCCCGAAAGGGAACGAUAACACAGGUGCUGCAUGGCUGUCGUCAGCUCGUGUCGUGAGAUGUUGGGUUAAGUCCCGCAACGAGCGCAACCCUUGUCAUUAAUUGCCAUCAUUUAGUUGGCACUUUAAUGAGACUGCCGG